GGGGAUGUAAAGGUUUCGACGGGGAUUUUGAACUGUGAUAAGCGAGCAGCGGUGCGGGACCGCUAUAUAAUCCGCAACUUUAAAAUUAACUGACAAACAACAGUUUGCAUUAGCAGCCUAAGUGCUGCUCAUUCCACCUAAAAGUACUGCGGUUUAGGCUGGGGUGUCAAAAUAGCAGUGAACGUGAAUUGGAGAGAGUUCUGUAUCCAAUCAUGAAUUAAAGAACUACCUAUAAGUCGAGCGUGUUGACCCGCGCUUCGGAUAGGGAAUUGCAGUAGAUCAACUGCGCUCGGAGAAAAUUGCAGGAAUGGAUUUUCGGACAGGGGUUCGACUCCCCUCAUCUCCACCA
rnacentral:tmRNA from 1 species